AUGCACCGGAUCAGUGGAGGCCGGAUCAGUGGAGACCAGCGGCGGAUCAGUGCCAGGGCGGCGGCGAAGGGAUGGAGCGGCGGCGGUGAAGGGAUGAAGAGCGGCGGCGGGCGAAUGAGGGCACAGACUCGGUCGUCUGUUUCUCGCUCGAGGGCACGAGACCUCGCUCAUGGGUGUGAAGGGAGGUUAGGCGCGUGGGGGCGGAUGUGGGACUCGGCCCUGAGGGUUUUUCUUGGUUCAUCGCGGCUGAGCGGGAGGUGGGAGCAGGUACCAAAAAAACCGGGUGAGGUGGGACGAAAGUUAAACCCGGAAUGCGACCUACCAACUGAGAUAUUAGGAGUAGAGAUUGCGCUGUCCUUUCCAAUUACUUCUGUUGUCUUACUCUUAUCAUUAAACCCCCACUACACCUAA
rnacentral:rRNA from 1 species